rnacentral:lncRNA from 7 species
CGCGGGCGGCCAUGCCGCGCGGCUAGGGCCUGAUGGUAUAUGGUCGGGCGCGGCUAGGGUCUUGGUGGAGCGCGCACAUCCGGCCACGGCGGCCUGCGGUUUCGUGCGGGCUAGAGGCGGCGCGGCCGGAGGUGGGACGGCACGAUCGAGUUAGGCCGGCGCCAGCGGCCGGAGGCGCCACGGGCAGGCACAGCGAGGCUGAAGCCUGAUGCUGUUCCUGCGGGCGGCGGUG